rnacentral:lncRNA from 1 species
UUGGAGAAAUUUUCGCUUGAACCUAGGGCGUGUUUGGUUCAUCUAUUUUAAACUAUGAAAUCGGAAUGAAAUUCAUUGAUUUCGAUUGUUGCCGUUUGUUUUAUAGGAAUCGGAUUCCGAUUUCCAUUCCACUCCGGAAUGGGAAUGACAAAAUUCAUUUAUGAUCCAAUUCGGCUUUAAAUCCCGGAUUGGUUCAUUCCAAAGUAAACUAUUCAAAAUCCUCUUUCAUCAACACCUAUCUCGUCUCCCUUCAUCACUUUCCUCUUUCUUAAUCAAAACCCUCUCUAAAAAAUUUUAAAUUUUCAUUCCGAUUUUCAUUCCAAUAAUAAACCAAACAUUUUUGGAUGAUUCGUCAUUCCAUUUUCUAUUCCAAAGCAAUUCAAUUCCAUUUUUCAUUCUUAUUUCAAUCAUGAACCAAACAUGCCCCUAGUGUAACUGUACAUCCUAUGCAGUGCAUUUUAUGAUAAAUAUUUUAAAAUAAAAAUUUAUUCGGAUAGAUUUGAUUUA